UACGGGGGGUGCAAGCGUUGUCCGGAAUUACUGGGCGUAAAGGGCUCGUAGGCGGCCAACUAAGUCAGACGUGAAAUCCCUCGGCUUAACCGGGGAACUGCGUCUGAUACUGGAUGGCUUGAGUUUGGGAGAGGGAUGCGGAAUUCCAGGUGUAGCGGUGAAAUGCGUAGAUAUCUGGAGGAACACCGGUGGCGAAGGCGGCAUCCUGGACCAACACUGACACUGAGGAGCGAAAGCCAGGGGAGCAAACGGG
rnacentral:rRNA from 1 species